AUUGAACGCUGGCGGCAUGCCUUACACAUGCAAGUCGAACGGCAGCACGGGUGCUUGCUCCUGGUGGCGAGUGGCGAACGGGGGAGUAUUACAUCGGCACCUGUCCCGUCUUGGGGGUUGGGCCGGCGAAAGCGGGAUUAAUACUGCAAACGAAUUACGGGUGAAAGCGGGGGCCCGUCGGCCUUCGAGCUUUCGGGUUGGCCGAUGGCUGAUUAGCUAGUUGGUGGGGUAAAGGCCUACCAAGGCGACGAUCAGUAGCUGGUCUGAGAGGACGACCAGCCACACUGGAACUGAGACACGGCCCAGACUCCUACGGGAGGCAGCAGUGGGGAAUUUUGGACAAUGGGCGAAAGCCUGAUCCAGCAAUGCCGCGUGUGUGAAGAAGGCCUUCGGGUUGUAAAGCACUUUUGUCCGGAAAGAAAUCCUUGGGCCUAAUACGGUCGGGGGAUGACGGUACCGGAAGAAUAAGCACCGGCUAACUACGUG
rnacentral:rRNA from 1 species